rnacentral:SRP_RNA from 1 species
AGCCGGGGUGGUAGCGGUACCCUGAACCAGCAAUCCGCUAUAGCUGGGGUGAUGCCGAACGGAGGGUUGUCAGAUUGUGGAGCUGCCCUUCAUAAGUGGCGUUGAAGUUUGGGUCUUACGCAACAGGAAUCUGUGAACCGGGUCAGGUCAGGAAUGGAGCAGCCCUAAGCAGAAGCUCUUGUGUGCCGUAAGGGUGCCUGGGCCGAGUUAACUGUGGAGGUAACGUCUGUGGUCUGGAUUCGAUGGGAGGCGCUCG